rnacentral:rRNA from 1 species
UACGGAGGGUGCGAGCGUUGUCCGGAAUCACUGGGCGUAAAGGGCGCGUAGGUGGCUCGUGAAGCGUGCGGUGAAAGUCCGAGGCUCAACCCUGGAAAGCCGGUGGAAACUGUCGAGCUAGAGUCCGGAAGAGGCGAGUGGAAUUCCUGGUGUAGCGGUGAAAUGCGCAGAUAUCAGGAGGAACACCAAUGGCGAAGGCAGCUCGCUGGGACGGUACUGACGCUGAGACGCGAAAGCGUGGGGAGCAAACAGG